CACGUAGGGCGCAAGCGUUUGUCCGGAAUUAUUGGGCGUUAAAGGGCUCGUAGGCGGUUUGUCGCGUCGGGAGUGAAUCCACUGGCUUAACUGGUGGCUUGCUUUCGAUACGGGCAGACUGGAGGUAUGCAGGGGAGAACGGAAUUCCUGGUGUAGCGGUGAAAUGCGCAGAUAUCAGGAGGAACACCGGUGGCGAAGGCGGUUCUCUGGGCAUGUCCUGACGCUGAGGAGCGAAAGUGUGGGAGCGAACAGG
rnacentral:rRNA from 1 species